rnacentral:rRNA from 1 species
UACAGAGGUCUCAAGCGUUGUUCGGAUUCAUUGGGCGUAAAGGGUGCGUAGGCGGCGCGGUAAGUCGGGUGUGAAAUCUUGGAGCUUAACUCCGAAACUGCAUUCGAUACUGCCGUGCUUGAGGACUGGAGAGGAGACUGGAAUUUACGGUGUAGCGGUGAAAUGCGUAGAUAUCGUAAGGAAGACCAGUGGCGAAGGCGGGUCUCGUGGACAGUUCCUGACGCUGAGGCACGAAGGUCAGGGGAGCAAACGGGG